rnacentral:rRNA from 1 species
UACGUAGGGGGCUAGCGUUGUCCGGAAUCAUUGGGCGUAAAGCGCGUGUAGGCGGUUCGGUAAGUCCGCUGUGAAAGUCGGGGGCUCAACCCUCGGAUGCCGGUGGAUACUGUCGGACUAGAGUACGGAAGAGGCGAGUGGAAUUCCUGGUGUAGCGGUGAAAUGCGCAGAUAUCAGGAGGAACACCAAUGGCGAAGGCAGCUCGCUGGGACGGUACUGACGCUGAGACGCGAAAGCUAGGGGAGCGAACAGG